rnacentral:rRNA from 1 species
GUGGGGAAUAUUGGGCAAUGGGCGCAAGCCUGACCCAGCAACGCCGCGUGAAGGAAGAAGGCUUUCGGGUUGUAAACUUCUUUGACAGGGGACGAAACAAAUGACGGUACCCUGAAAACAAGCCACGGCUAACUACGUGCCAGCAGCCGCGGUAAUACGUAGGUGGCGAGCGUUAUCCGGAUUUACUGGGUGUAAAGGGCGUGUAGGCGGGAGUGCAAGUCAGAUGUGAAAAUUAUGGGCUCAACCCAUAACCUGCAUUUGAAACUGUUCUUCUUGAGUGAUGGAGAGGCAGGCGGAAUUCCGUGUGUAGCGGUGAAAUGCGUAGAUAUACGGAGGAACACCAGUGGCGAAGGCGGCCUGCUGGACAUUAACUGACGCUGAGGCGCGAAAGCGUGGGGAGCAAACAGGAUUAGAUACCCUUGUAGUGC